GCUGCCCCUUGAGAUGCAGCCCAGGCUUCUGUGUCUCUGCUGCGCAAAAGGAGGGCAGAAAGCAACAGGCUCUCGAUAGCUUCAGUUCCCCUGCGGUGGACUUUAAGUUUGGAACCGGGCCUGACACU
rnacentral:snoRNA from 1 species